rnacentral:rRNA from 1 species
UACGUAGGGGGCGAGCGUUGUCCGGAAUUACUGGGCGUAAAGGGUGCGUAGGCGGUCCAUUAAGUCAGGUGUGAAAAACCUGGGCUCAACCGAGGUAUUGCACUUGAAACUGGUGGGCUUGAGUGCAGGAGAGGGAAGUGGAAUUCCUAGUGUAGCGGUGAAAUGCGUAGAUAUUAGGAGGAACACCAGUGGCGAAGGCGGCUUCCUGGACUGUAACUGACGCUGAGGCACGAAAGCGUGGGGAGCAAACAGG